GGCCCAGAAACCACUGGAGGGAUAAUCACUGAAAAAGGGGGGGCACAAUCGCUGGCGGAUCAGGUAUAGGUGCAUCCUGACUCCCAGAUACUGGUGUUGUCGCCCGUUGCGACACUAGAUCCUAUAACCUCAUUAUGUUCUCUUCCUGCCUCUGCAUAGCUCCAGCUCCAAUGCGCUCACCGGAGCACGUAGCUCCAGAACUUCGCUAGAUCCAGUCUGCUCUGGCAUCCUAGAAGGUGAUGCCGGAGUGGAUCUCGUCGCACGUCGCGACAUUUCUCUUGAAAUGAACCCUUUACACUAGUAAAACAAUACCAAUCAGGCGAAAGCAAUCAAGUAUAUUUAUACUCAACUCUUAGCUUUAUGUUGUGGGCCCCCAACAUAACUCCUUAGUUGUAUAUAAAUAACACUUGGAUCAGCCCCUAAUUAACAUUAGAGACUUACUAACAACUAACCAAAUUUAUUUAGCUUUCGCUAUCAUUAGAUUCGCGCCACUCGCGUUCCUGGUUCCUAGGUUUCCAUUCCUAAGUCCCCUAGGUCAUCCUAGACUUUCACUAUCACUUGCUCUGAUACCACUCUAUCUGUCACGUCCCGAGCCUCGCCUAUUUGGUCGAUCCGGGCCCGUACACAGACGCCGAACGAACAGUACCUCCUCUGUUCGCCCAAGGCUCAACAACAACGGAUACAUGUAUAAAGAAAUUAAACAAUUCCCAGGAUCACAUUUCAAUAUACAUGGCUUGCACGAUGGCAAGCAACAACACAAGUGAUAGUACGUCUAACUAAACAUAUAAUCCACUGUAAUUUAAAACUUUACAUAACUGAAACAUUUAGUUAUUACAUGCUUUAUAUACAAUCAUUUACAUGUCUCUGUACAUCGAAAUAGAUAAUACAUGAACCCAAAAUGGUAUACCACUAGUACUCGGGUGUCCACUAGCUAGGCUGCUGGCUCUUGCCUCGAUCCUCGGCCACAAUACUCGUACUGGAACCUGUAUGGUUAGUGGUGUGUGAGAACUACAAGAAAGUUCCCAGUGGGUUCGGCUGCCGACUUCGCCGACUCACCCACUAGGUCUAUUCAGGCAUAUGUAGGCAAGAAAAGUAAGCAAAUAGUAACCAACUAUAACAUGUAACUACUACAAUGCCUGUACAAAGCUGAAAGAAGUAACAGAUAUGAAAACUGUAAAUAUGCAUGCAUGCUUUUCAUUAACUUUACCUAAUCUUUUGAUUAACCCUCUGGUUAACAGCUGGACAAGUACGUUAGUCCAUAAAUUUACCCAAUUCAGUGGUUAACCCUUUGGUUAACAAUAACUCACCAACGAAAUCCCUCACGGGCCCUAAGCUGCCUCCCGAUGGGACCGUCUGUCGGACAAGUACGUUAGUCCUGGGGCUAGUACGUUAGCCCAACAAGUGACUACUCCGGAGCUCACUGCCUGGGGGGAGCGACCACCACCAAGCUAAGAAAACAGACUAUGUGAGUAAGAUCUGAUCCCCUUUUAGAGGAUUCAACUGACAACAAUGUCACAAUUUAACUCUAACUAGUUCUUUAUACUAGUUUCAUAAUUGCAUUUCUCGAUGCUAACCAAAUCUCUAAUCAUGAUGUCACCAAGUUUACUAUUGUCUUAGUCCUUUACAGUUUCAUAAUUUCACUGUUUAUCUCACAAUGCUAUCCAAUUCUCUAGUUAGAAUGUCACCAAGUUUACUAUUGUCAAAGUCCAUGCAUUCAUAGGGUUCUAUGUCCACAAUCUAAGGUUCACAAAUUCUCAUUGUUGAUAGGAAUUCACAUUUUCACUCGCUCAAUGCCAAACACCCUAUAAUGCGUGACUACAAAUAUAAAUAUGCUCAACGAAGAAUUAUAGACAUAAAAGGUGAUUCAAAGAGUUCGGAUAGCACCACCCACCUGUAGUGGUGUCAAUCAACUAAAAUCCACGUCUCGGAAAGCGUCGAGACUAUCUCUCGCGACUCCAUGCAAUUAGGACUAGAACGGCCGCUACCGUAAUUAGCGCGUCGUCGACCUGUCGGAAAGUCAAAUUAGACUCUUGGGCACGUUUACUUUUCACUUAUAAAGGAUUAGAAAAGAUUAAACUAGAGUCAAUACUCAUAUUUUACAAAUUAGCAUUUCAAUGCUAUAUAAAACGGCAACUAUAGCCGAAAAACUUCUUUUGGCGAUAUCUUUGCGUAGGUUCGUCGGAUUGCCGAACCGACUUCGCCAACGCGUUUCUUUUACCCUCAAUUUGGUUUACACGCGGUCAAUUUCGCAUUAGGACUCUUAUUUUGCAAAAGUGCAUUGCCGGGGUCAGUUUUCAUUUAAACCCCGUUUUUAUAGAAACCCUAACUUAUUUUGCAUCUUUUCAUUUUCUUUCUUUCAUUUUUUCUUCUUAUUCUUUCUUUCUUUUCUUUUCUUACUUUCUUUCUUUCUUUCUUUCUUUUCUUUCUUUCUUUCCUCACUUUCUUUCUUUCUUUCCUUUUCUUUCCCUGCAGGCUGCAGCUGCUGCUGCUGUUGAAGCUUCUCUGCUGAAGCUGCUGCUGCUGCGGACUGCUCAGCAGCUAGCUGAGCUGCUGCUGCUGAAGCCCUGCUGCUGCUGCUGUUCUUGCUAAGCUGCUGCUCAGCAGCUUGCGCAAGCUGCUGCUGCUGCUAAAGCUCUGCGCAAGGCUGCUGAGGCUGCUGCUGCUAACUGCCGAGCUGCUGCUGCUGAUUCUACUACUGCUGCUGCUGAAGCCCCUGCUGACAGCAGCUACCACUGCUGACUGCCAAGCUGCUGCUGCUAUUACUUGCUCAGCCUCUAGGCUGAGCUGCAGCUGCUGCUGCUGAUUGCUUGCUGCUGCUGACAGCAGCAGAGAAAAGGGAGUGAGGGGGGGAAAGAAAACAGAGCAAAGAGAGGAAAAGAAAUAGAAAUCUUUACCUUUCUUUCUUCUUUGUCUUUCUUCUUCUUCUUCUCUUUUCUCUUCUCUUCUUUGCUCCUUCUUUUCUCCUUCUCUCUCUCUGGACGUAGGCAGCAAGAAUGAAGAGGGAGGGGAUAAGGAUGGAGCUCCCUGGCAGGGGACUUAGUGGAAUUCCACUAACUUGGUGAUAAUUACCAUAAUGCCCCUCGACUAAUCCGUUUAGCGACACGGAUCAACUACCUUUCGCAGGCCCUUCCGAAAGUCCGAUUGAGCUCAAAUUUGGCAGGAAUGUUCGUUUUUACUUAACAAGUCCACUGAAAUUUUAACAUUUCAGUUUCGACCCCGUUUGGUCACUGCGAACUGUCCCGAACUGUAAUCUUUAUCAGAUAACUUCCAGAUGCUAUUUCUCUCUCUACAGGUGUCAGAAAAAUCUGAAACUUCAAAACUAACCUUAUAAUAAUGUUCCUGACAUCUCUGCCAAUUUUCGUAAUUUUCUGACACUGUGCAUUUUCUGCUAAUUUUCUCAGUCCCGUUCUUUACAGAAAAUUUCAAAUCUUCUGUUUUUGCUCCGAUUUUAACACGAACACUUCCAAAACAUGCCAAGGGACUUUCACAAGCUACCAAUUCAAUUUGGAAGGCAUUCCUUUUCAUUUUGACAUCAUAUGGUUCAUUUCGACCAAAUCGACUACAUAAUUCAGCAUUCGAGUUACAAUGGCAAUUGGAGUUCUUUUGUCACUUCGUUUCCACUUGUAUCUAUUCCCACACUUCCAAAGUGUGCCAAUGACUGAUCUCAAGCUUCUAAUUCAGUUUAGAAGUCUCUAAUUUCCAUUUUAGCAUUAUUGUGCCCACUUUGAUCACAAUUAGCUUCUAAUCAAGUUUCAGUCUAUUACAAUCUCCCCUCCUUAAAAUAGUUUCGUCCUCGAAACUCGAUUUCAUACUUCAAUUCUCCUGGUCAAAUAGAUGAGGGAAGAGAUUCCAUCACUCGCAAUUUCCACUUCUCAACGAAGGGUUCAUUCUAACAGCUCCACACUUAAAUGAUCUGACGGCAUAAUCCGCCAACAUUUCCCGUGGCUACUCAUUACUCAAGUGUCUCCUAGAGACCACUUUACUUUCUCUUUAUCCUUGGAUGCUACAAGCCACCAUCAAUGUCCAUUCGUCUUGCAACGAAUUUAUACGAACCCGCCAUUCAUGGUUCAGGCCAAAACAAACUAACAGAGUUGUCGGUCACACCGACCAUCGGUUCCCACAGGUGGACCAGGGGCCACCAACCCUACGUAGGCCUACAGCCGAAACCGAUCUCGACGACGCCUAGCGUCUCUCGCUCGCAAGCGCAAACCCAAUUAUCACGUAGCAAAGUUCUCAUUUGAGACAUCGCAUACCUGCUCCAACUGGGAGCAACCGAGACCCUAAACCACGCCAAAUUCUCGGGUUGGGUCGCUACACACCCUGUGUGUCCUCGAUCUCACGAUCUAACACGUGGCAUUCCACGUACUCGGGUCUAUGCUCGGACUACCGUCCUGACCAAAACUCUCUGCCCUACCCGUAGGUACCGGGACGCUGCCUCUCGCAGCUGACUGCGCCUGCCCAAUGGGCCCAGGCUCCACAGUCCAAAAAGGGUCCAGGCACGGCUCGUCCCCAAGCACUACCCGCCAACGUCGUUUCACACGAAAUGCUCUACAGAGCUACAAGUAUAACUAUCGGCUCCUAAGCACCUAGUGCGAGCCACCAGCCCCGCGAGUGAUCCAUGGCACGCUUCACACUUAGCAACGCUCAGGUGCUACUGCCAACACACUCUCCUGGCUGAAUCAGAAUCCACAUUCUACGGACAGCUAUACUCAAGCGUCCUACACUAUCGCGUCUCUUGCCAGACAUCUCACGCUAGGCAAUUCAGCCUAUGUCUCAAUUACGCAACCACAAUUCCUCAACUUAUUUAAGGUACAACUCAACUAACUCGCCAAAACCAGGCGAUCAUCUAACCACGCCACAACAGUGACGCCCUUACCACUACACAAUCCAUCGGAAAUACCAUCUGGAUUUUCGAACUCUAGAAACGUCUUCUAACGUUUCUACUUUAAUUCUCAUUACCACCCGAAUGGUUUAGAGAAUAGGUCCACCAUGUCCAUCUUCAUCUCGAGCCCCAACAUUGGCUCACUGUGACUGCUCGCUAGCACGAUCCAACUGUCUAUUCCACAAUAGACAAUAUAUUCUCUUCAUCCCUGCAUGCUAGGGUCAAAUCCAAAUUUCUAUCACACUCUUGCAUGUACCGCUCGGAGUUCGUAUCGUUUCCAAGUAUACAAUCUUCUUACUGAAGGCAAAUUACCAUCACUUCACUUAUCCAAUACUACACGCGGCCUUGCCGUGUGAAAGUCACCACAAUCAUUCCUCUCGAAGUAAAAGGUCAACCAACAGACCUUUCCGAAUUCUAGGAUAACGACUACAACUCCCUUCCGGGUGUCACUUAACACUCGAUUAACCACUUAAGCUCAAUAUCAGUCGCUUAUCCUUCAUUCUUCACUAAUCAAUUCGCGCAUCUUCCGCACAAAUAUCACUUAACUUCGACCAUAAGAUUCAAUUUGAUACUUCCUCAGAAGUUCAUAGCUUAGGACUGCGUAUAACUUUGACACAUUUUCUGUCGAAGUUUCCUUAUUUCAUAAUCGGCCUUGUUUCCAAUAUCCAAAGAUCUGCCUCUUUUCCACCAAAUAUAGGCGGAUUAAACCGCAUAAACGCCGUCAGUCCUACUAACGAUUGCUUGUGCUCGGCCCUUGUUGCAGUCGAAUCAGAAUCAGACGGCCCAGAAACCACUGGAGGGAUAAUCACUGAAGGGGGGGGGGCACAAUCGCUGGCGGAUCAGGUAUAGGUGCAUCUUGACUCCCAGAUGCUGGUGUUGUCGCCUGUUGCGACACUAGAUCCUGUAACCUCCUUAUGUUCUCUUCCUGCCUCUGCAUAGCUCCAACCAACGCGCUCACCGGAGCACGUAGCUCCUGAACUUCUCUAGAUCCAGUCUGC
rnacentral:lncRNA from 1 species